rnacentral:lncRNA from 1 species
UGCAAAAUUAUUUUGUUUUUUCAUUGUUGCUUCGAUGCUUUCUUAUUAUAUUUUGUUACAAUUUAGUUAUUUUUUUUAUCAUUUUUUCAUUCCGUUUUUUCAUAAAUAGAUAAUUAUGUUAUAAGAAGCGUGUUAUGUUUUGUACACUUUAACUUAAAUGUACGUCCUGUUAAUCACGAAAAAGCAAAAAAAAAAAAAAAAAAAAAAAAACAUUGUUUCUAGUCACCUAUAUAAAAAUAUUGUUUAACGCUCUUCAUGCAUUGUUAUUUAUUUAUUAAUUUUCCACAUUGUACAAACUCUCAUAUAUUUUUUUAUUUAGAAAAAAAAAAAAAAAAGAUCGUAUUAAAGCAGCUAAAAAAAAAAAUAAAAUAAAAAAAAAUAAUUUUCAAUGUUUACACAAUUAUAUAUAUAUGUAUCAAUAAUAAGUACAUAAUUAUUCAUUUUUUUAUAUUAUUUUAUUAUUUUAUUUUUUUUUUAAGCAUUUAAAACAUUUUUCUUUGUUGAGCAAGUUAAAAAAUAAGCAUAUUUUGAACAGAAUUAAAAUUUCCUGUGAAGAAUUUAAACAAAAUUAAAAAAUCUUUUUCUAUUUUUAAAAGUAUAAAAGCAUCGAACUUCCUAAUUUCCAUUUCAGAAAAAUAAAUUAAUAUGGAUAUUCGCUCGAGAAUAAUAAACUACAUUAUAUUUUCUUUAAAAAGAUGCAAGAAUAAAAACAAAUAUAUACUUUUACUAAAUGAACUGCUUUCUUUUUUCCCAUUACAUGCUGAAAAAAGCUUAAGUUUAUGCUUAAAAUCAAAAAUAAAAAAAUACAUAUUAGUAAAAGAACAUCGUACAAUAAAGGAUAAUAUAUUAUAUGAUAAUAAAACCUUUAAAACGAAUAGGAAAAUACGUUGGAAAAAUUUGGAUUCAUGUUUUAGUGAUGACACCUUUACUGCUAUUGGGCAAAAAAAGAAAGACAUUUUAAGAGAAUAUUUACACAUUAACUUGAAAAAAAAUAGAAAUAAGAAAACAGGUAUACAUUUUUUUUUAGUCCCUGGAAAUAAUAAAAAGUACAUUGUAUUCGAACAUUUUUGUUCUUGUUUUUAUUUUAAAGAAAAUGUAUUAUGUAAUAAUUGUGAUGUUUUGUGUAAACAUAUCUUAUCCGUUCGUUUAGCAGAAUGUUUCAAUAAUUAUACGAAUAUUUAUUUAGACUCAGAUUUGUUUUUCGAAUGGCACCAUAAAAAAAUGAAUAUUUAAAAAAAAAAGGGGGGGGGAAAUAAAACAUAUAUAAUGUGUGUAUAUAAUACA